rnacentral:rRNA from 1 species
AACACGGUAUCCAACCUACCGGUUAUUCCGGGAUAGCCUUUCGAAAGAAAGAUUAAUACCGGAUAGUAUAACGAGAAGGCAUCUUCUUGUUAUUAAAGAAUUUCGAUAACCGAUGGGGAUGCGUUCCAUUAGUUUGUUGGCGGGGUAACGGCCCACCAAGACAUCGAUGGAUAGGGGUUCUGAGAGGAAGGUCCCCCACAUUGGAACUGAGACACGGUCCAAACUCCUACGGGAGGCAGCAGUGAGGAAUAUUGGUCAAUGGACGAGAGUCUGAACCAGCCAAGUAGCGUGAAGGAUGACUGCCCUAUGGGUUGUAAACUUCUUUUAUAUGGGAAUAAAGUGAGCCACGUGUGGCUUUUUGUAUGUACCAUACGAAUAAGGAUCGGCUAACUCCGUGCCAGCAGCCGCGGUAAUACGGAGGAUCCGAGCGUUAUCCGGAUUUAUUGGGUUUAAAGGGAGCGUAGGCGGACUAUUAAGUCAGCUGUGAAAGUUUGCGGCUCAACCGUAAAAUUGCAGUUGAUACUGGUCGUCUUGAGUGCAGUAGAGGUAGGCGGAAUUCGUGGUGUAGCGGUGAAAUGCUUAGAUAUCACGAAGAACUCCGAUUGCGAAGGCAGCUUACUGGACUGU